UACAGAGGGGGCAAGCGUUGUUCGGAAUUACUGGGCGUAAAGGGCGCGUAGGCGGCCUGUUAAGUCGAACGUGAAAUCCCCGGGCUCAACCCGGGAACUGCGUCCGAUACUGGCAGGCUUGAAUCCGGGAGAGGGAUGCGGAAUUCCAGGUGUAGCGGUGAAAUGCGUAGAUAUCUGGAGGAACACCGGUGGCGAAGGCGGCAUCCUGGACCGGCAUUGACGCGUGAGGCGCGGAAAGCCAGGGGAGCAAACGGG
rnacentral:rRNA from 1 species